rnacentral:piRNA from 1 species
AGUUGUAGGGAAGGAACAAGGUC